rnacentral:lncRNA from 1 species
UUACUUUAGUGUAAUUCUUGUGUUCUACUCCAUAACCCUUGAGAUAUAAAUAUCCGAUCCCAUUGUAAGCCGAAUAUACUUGAUGUUUAGAUGCAAGGGUUAGCCAUUCAAGAGCCGUUGUGUAGUUGCGCUUGACUCCAUCACCUCUCGCGUAAAUCACACCAAGAAGCUCCAUUGACAUAGGUUCACCCUUUUCCACGGCUUUUGAAAACCAUGAAAAUGCUUUGGCAUGAUCACGCCUAAACCCUCUUAAUCCACAGUAAUAAAAUAUACCAAUUUUAUACAUGGCUACAGGAUUUCCUUUCUGUGCCUGAUAUUCCAAGUUCUGAAAAUCUUCAUCUUCCCCUCUGGAUCUUCGGAGAGCAUCUGUGUUCUCUUCUGCUCCAUUAUGAAUUCUGACUGCUAG